AUUCUGCCCAUGCGGGGAAGGAUGAGAAGCUUCGACCAAGGUUCGACUCGAGCGCCAGCGAGAGAGCGUUGCCGCAGGCAACGACCCGUAG
rnacentral:sRNA from 1 species